rnacentral:tRNA from 4 species
GAGCCGGUAGCUCAGUUGGUAGAGCAUCGCCCUUUUAAGGCGAGGGUCCCGGGUUCGAGCCCCGGCCGGCUCACCA